rnacentral:rRNA from 1 species
CCCUUAGAUGUUCUGGGCCGCACGCGUGCUACACUGAGUGGAUCAGCGGGUUAGGUAACACGAAAGUGUAUCCUAAUCUUCAAAUCCGCUCGUGAUGGGGAUUGACGGUUGCAAUUUUCUGUCAUGAACGAGGAAUACCUUGUAAGCGCGGGUCAUCAUCCCGCGCUGAAUACGUCCCUGCCCUUUGUACACACCGCCCGUCGCUCCUACCGAUUGAGUGGUCCGGUGAGGCUUUGGGAUCUGAGCGGAAAGAGCGUUUCGCUGUUUCUGCUCGGAAAACUCAGUCGAACCUUAUCAUUUAGAGGAAGGAGAAGUCGUAACA